GUAUGUAGUUUAUCUGAUCUUGACAGAUAUGCCACAUAGGAAACGAAAAAGACAAAGAAAAACAGUAACGUAGAGGCUUCGCUCUCUUAAGCAUUUGCAUAAAUCUCAUAAAAUAGAAUUUCUGAGUUGGAAGACCCACCUCAAAGGCCAUCUCAUCCAGCCUACUUCUUUCUGGCAGAUGAUGAUACUUUCAUUUCUGUUUUAAUAUUUUUAGUUUUUCAAAUAAAAAAUAGACUUGCUGGAAAAUA